UGGUGUUUAAUCCCGGGGCUCAACCCCGGAUCGCACUGGAAACUGGGUGACUUGAGUGCAGAAGAGGAGAGUGGAAUUCCACGUGUAGCGGUGAAAUGCUAUAGAUAUGUGGAGGAACACCAGUGGCGAAGGCGACUCUCUGGGCUGUAACUGACGCUGAGGCGCGAAAGCGUGGGGAGCAAACAGGAUUAGAUACCCUGGUAGUCCACGCCGUAAACGAUGAGUGCUAGGUGUUAGGGGUUUCGAUACCCUUGGUGCCGAAGUUAACACAUUAAGCACUCCGCCUGGGGAGUACGGUCGCAAGACUGAAACUCAAAGGAAUUGACGGGGACCCGCACAAGCAGUGGAGUAUGUGGUUUAAUUCGAAGCAACGCGAAGAACCUUACCAGGUCUUGACAUCCCUCUGACCGGUACAGAGAUGUACCUUUCCUUCGGGACAGAGGAGACAGGUGGUGCAUGGUUGUCGUCAGCUCGUGUCGUGAGAUGUUGGGUUAAGUCCCGCAACGAGCGCAACCCUUGAUCUUAGUUGCCAGCACUUCGGAUGGGCACUCUAAGGUGACUGCCGGUGACAAACCGGAGGAAGGUGGGGAUGACGUCAAAUCAUCAUGCCCCUUAUGACCUGGGCUACACACGUACUACAAUGGCCGGUACAACGGGCAGUGAAACCGCGAGGUGGAACGAAUCCUAAAAAGCCGGUCUCAGUUCGGAUUGCAGGCUGCAACUCGCCUGCAUGAAGUCGGAAUUGCUAGUAAUCGCGGAUCAGCAUGCCCGGGUGGAAUACGUUCCCCGGGUCUUGUACACACCGCCCGUCAC
rnacentral:rRNA from 1 species